rnacentral:rRNA from 1 species
AUACGUAGGUGACAAGCGUUAUCCGGAUUUACUGAGCGUAAAGGGCGUGUAGGCGGUCUUGCAAGUCAGAAGUGAAAUUCCUGAGCUCAACUCGGGCGCUGCUUCUGAAACUGCAGGACUUGAGUGCUGGAGGGGAUAGCGGAAUUCCUAGUGGAGCGGUAAAAUGCGCAGAUAUUAGGAAGAACACCGGUGGCGAAGGCGGCUAUCAAGACAGUAACUGACGCUGAGGCGCGAAAGCGUGGGGAGCAAACAGGAUUAGAUACCCUGGUAGUCCACGCUGUAAACGAUGAAUACUAGGUGUGGGGGGACUGACCCCCUCCGUGCCGCAGUUAACACAAUAAGUAUUCCACCUGGGGAGUACGAUCGCAAGAUUGAAACUCAAAUGAAUUGGCGGGG